GUGCGACGGCUGAGGUCUCUACCAUGGCGGCCCGGCUUGUGAGCCGAUGCGGAGCUGUGCGUGCAGCUCCCCACAGCGGCCCGCUGGUGUCCUGCUGCAGGUGGUCCGGCGCCUCAACAGACACCGUGUAUGACGUGGUGGUGUCGGGUGGAGGCCUGGUGGGCGCUGCCAUGGCCUGUGCCUUGGGAUAUGAUAUUCACUUUCAUGACAAGAAAAUCCUGUUACUCGAAGCAGGUCCAAAGAAAGUAUUGGAGAAAUUGUCAGAAACUUACAGCAACAGGGUCAGCUCCAUUUCCCCUGGCUCUGCAACGCUUCUCAGUAGUGUGGGACGCCUGCUCAGAGGCCCUGAUAAUGUUUGAUAAGGAUAAUUUAGAUGAUAUGGGCUAUAUCGUGGAGAAUGAUGUCAUCAUGCAUGCUCUCACUAAGCAGCUGGAGGCUGUGUCUGACCGAGUGACGGUUCUCUACAGGAGCAAAGCCAUUCGCUAUACCUGGCCUUGUCCAUUUCCUAUGGCCGACUCCAGCCCUUGGGUUCAUAUUACCCUAGGUGAUGGCAGCACCUUCCAGACCAAAUUGUUGGUAGUUGAAGAUUCUUAUUUUGCUAGGGGUCCUGUAUAUCUACAUCUUAUCCUAGAUUCUAGGGACUCUGGUUUUAGAUUUAAGCUAUAGUUUAAUUUUAGGCAAAGCUUUUGGUUAUGAGGACCAGUACCCAUUCAGGCCAGCUCAAGUGGAGAUGGUCUCGUCGUAAAUCCUGUACAGGGAGCAAUCUCAUGGGCCGUCUUAGGUUGUGAAAUAACAGAUAGCUGGGCCUCACAGGACAGGCACCAGAGUGUCGGGAAUGGAGGCUGUUCUUUCCCUCUUAGGAGUCUGGUCAUUGAUCUCUUGCCUCUCAUUUUUCUCCUUUCUGCUCACAAGCUUCCCUUUUUGCAUGGCAGCCAUUCCUAACCCUACAUCAGAACUAUUCAGCUCCAGUGCGUGCCCCAUACUGAAACUUUCCUUAUUGCUCUCUAGUUCAAAUAUCAGGAGGGCCUGGCUGAGUUUAACUCAUGGCUGGCACCUUUUCAGUCAUGUCCAGCUUUGGCUCUGUUGGCUGUGGCUGAUGUGACACAGUGCAGGGGCUCCACCUCUAGGGGCUGUGAGUGAAGCAGGCCUGAUGGAAUUAUCCUGCCACACAACAAUCAGAGCUGGAGGAAGCUUUAGGGGGCAGAGAAAAACUUCUGAAGCAGUUUAUGAAGAGGCUGUAAG
rnacentral:sRNA from 1 species